GAUGAACGCUGGCGGCGUGCUUAACACAUGCAAGUCGAACGGUGAACGAGGGAGCUUGCUCCCUCCGGAUCAGUGGCGAGCGGGUGAGUAACACGUGAGCAAUCUGCCCUGGACUCAGGGAUAAGCGUUGGAAACGACGUCUAAUACCGGAUACGAGGCGUGGGGGCAUCCCCAACGCCUGGAAAGAACUUCGGUCCAGGAUGAGCUCGCGGCCUAUCAGCUAGUUGGUGAGGUAACGGCUCACCAAGGCGACGACGGGUAGCCGGCCUGAGAGGGUGACCGGCCACACUGGGACUGAGACACGGCCCAGACUCCUACGGGAGGCAGCAGUGGGGAAUAUUGCACAAUGGGCGCAAGCCUGAUGCAGCAACGCCGCGUGAGGGACGACGGCCUUCGGGUUGUAAACCUCUUUUAGCAGGGAAGAGGCGAAAGUGACGGUACCUGCAGAAAAAGCACCGGCUAACUACGUGCCAGCCGCCGCCGUAACAC
rnacentral:rRNA from 1 species